rnacentral:rRNA from 1 species
GACGAACGCUGGCGGCGUGCUUAACACAUGCAAGUCGAACGGAAAGGCCCCUUCGGGGGUACUCGAGUGGCGAACGGGUGAGUAACACGUGAGUAACCUGCCCUUGACUUCGGGAUAACUUCAGGAAACUGGGGCUAAUACCGGAUAGGAAUCCUUGCUGCAUGGAGGGGGUUGGAAAGCUUCGGCGGGUUUGGAUGGACUUGCGGCUUAUCAGGUUGUUGGUGGGGUAGUGGCUUACCAAGGCUUUGACGGGUGGCCGGCCUGGGGGGGCGACCGGCCAAAUUGGGACUGGGAUACGGCCCAGACUCCCACGGGGGGGAGGAGGGGGGAAUAUUGGACAAAGGGGGGGAGGCUGAUGCAGGAAAGCCGCGGGGGGGAGGACGGGCUUCCGGUUGGAAAACGGCUUCAGCAGGGGCGAAGCUUGUGGUGACGGUACCUGCAGAAGAAGCACCGGCUAACUACGUG